rnacentral:rRNA from 1 species
UACGAAGGGGGCUAGCGUUGUUCGGAAUUACUGGGCGUAAAGGGCGCGUAGGCGGCGUGUCAAGUCAGGCGUGAAAGCCCCGGGCUCAACCUGGGAACCGCGCUUGAGACUGGCAUGCUCGAGUUCGGGAGAGGAUGGUGGAAUUCCCAGUGUAGAGGUGAAAUUCGUAGAUAUUGGGAAGAACACCGAUGGCGAAGGCAGCCAUCUGGACCGACACUGACGCUGAGGCGCGAAAGCGUGGGGAGCAACAGG